rnacentral:rRNA from 1 species
GACGAACGCUGGCGGCGUGCUUAACACAUGCAAGUCGAACGGAAAGGCCCUGCUUUUGUGGGGUGCUCGAGUGGCGAACGGGUGAGUAACACGUGAGUAACCUGCCCUUGACUUUGGGAUAACUUCAGGAAACUGGGGCUAAUACCGGAUAGGAGCUCCUGCUGCAUGGUGGGGGUUGGAAAGUUUCGGCGGUUGGGGAUGGACUCGCGGCUUAUCAGCUUGUUGGUGGGGUAGUGGCUUACCAAGGCUUUGACGGGUAGCCGGCCUGAGAGGGGGACCGGCCACAUUGGGACUGAGAUACGGCCCAGACUCCUACGGGAGGCAGCAGUGGGGAAUAUUGCACAAUGGGGGGAAGCCUGAUGCAGCAACGCCGCGUGCGGGAUGACGGCCUUCGGGUUGUAAACCGCUUUCGCCUGUGACGAAGCGUGAGUGACGGUAAUGGGUAAAGAAGCACCGGCUAACUACGUG